GUAGACACCCGUUUCCCGUACGAUCACCGAAGUUAAGCAACGUCGAGCCUGGUCAGUACCUAGAUAGGUGACUGUUUGGAAAUACUAGUUACUGUAU